AUCUACCAUUAGCUAGUUGGUGUGGUAAUGGCGCACCAAGGCUACGAUGGUUAGCUGGUCUGAGAGGAUGGUCAGCCACACUGGGACUGAGAUACGGCCCAGACUCCUACGGGGGGCAGCAGUCUAGAGGCUUCGUCAAUGCCCGAAAGGGUGAACGAGCGACGCCGCGUGCGGGAUGAAGGCCUUCGGGUUGUAAACCGCUUUUAUUAGGGACGAACGCACUGAUCGUGAAUUGGUGCUUGACGGUACUUGAUGAAUAAGCCUCGGCUAACUCCGUGCCAGCAGCCGCGGUAAUACGGAGGAGGCGAGCGUUGUUCGGAAUCAUUGGGCGUAAAGGGCUCGUAGGCGGACCUGUGUGUCUUGCGUGAAAUCUCCACCGCUUACCGGGGAGGGUGCGUAGGAAACUGCAGGUCUUGAGUAUGAUAGAGGGUCGCGGAAUUCCGGGUGUAGCGGUGGAAUGCGUAGAUAUCCGGAGGAACACCGGUGGCGAAGGCGGCGGCCUGGAUCAAUACUGACGCUGAGGAGCGAAAGCUAGGGUAGCAACGGGAUUAGAUACCCCGGUAGUCCUAGCUGUAAACGUUAUACUAGGUGUGGGAGGUAUCGACCCCUUCUGUGCCGGAGCUAACGUAUUAA
rnacentral:rRNA from 1 species